UAAUAAUAAGAAAUAAGUGUCCUCAAACAUCCUUGCCCACAUGAUAAAAAAGGUUAGUUUUGACUGCUUUGAUAACUACUUAGAAGACUUUCUUAUCUCAUCACUAAAGUUAGAGUUGAGUGUAGAAGAUGGCAGUAGCAAGAAUAAAAUAAAUUAAUGAGGACUCUAAAUAUAUCUUCUAUUAAAGGGCUGUGAUUUGAUCUUGUUUCUACUAACACUGAGAGAUGUAAUGGGGUAAUUGGUAAGGGGGAACUUCUUCCCCUAUUAACGUCUAUCCUAUAUUCCCUGGCUCACACAUCCCUAGUGUAUUUGGGGAAGGUAUCAUCCAGCAUGGAAAUAGCUUCUGACACAAAAGACUAGAUGACUCUGCAUUCUGCUGCUGAUGCGGCACUAGGUCGCUUCUGAUUUAAUGGGUAAAUGCUUCUAUUUCUUCUGUUCUUUCCCCACAGUGUUCUCUCUACAGCAUUCUUGGAGAUUGGGGGCGGUCCUCAAGGUUAAAGGAACUAUGAUUUCAGCUUUGAGGAAUGGACAGUUUGUAAAAUCUUAAGAGGAAUACAGAAUGCCAUUCUUCAACCCAUCAAAUCAAAUCCAACAACCCUCCUCACUGUUAAAUCAGGGAAAUCCUGCAACACUUAAUCCUCAAGGAAGAUAAACCCAGGAGUGGAAAAGAGAUGACGCUGAAAGAAGAUGAAUAUGAGCAAAAGAACCAAUGUUUCAUGUUUCAUGUUGGGAGCUGAACAGAAAGAUGGGAAUGCGUGUAGUAUAUAUAAUUUUCAAACAUUCCUUAGGGACGUCAGGGAGCAGCUCAGCAGUAGGUGUCCCAUACUGUGUCUCGGCAGCAAAGAAAGUAACUAAGACAAAAGGAAUUAAGGUUGCUGAUGGAACUAAAGUUGCUGCUGAGCUGAUCUUGACAUGGGUAGAGUAUUCUGGAUUACCCAGAUGGGUAAUUACAUGAGUCCUCAUCCAUGCAAUGGGAGGAGGCAGAGGAGUGUCAAUCAGAGAUGGCAGAAUGGUUUGGAGCUACAGGAAGAGGCCAUGGUAGAUGUACCUAAAAAUUGGACAAGGCCUGGAAACAGAUUCUUCCCUAGCACCCUCCAGAAGGAAUGCUGCCUGCCAAUACCUUGAAUUUAGCCCAGCAAGGCCUGUUUCAGAUGUCUGACCUCAACAGCUUUAAGAUAAUAAAUCUGGAUUGUGUAGUGUGUGGUCAUUUGUUUCCAUAGUAGCAGAACAUUAAUCCUGUUGCGUGUUUUUCUGCCUUCUAGCCUUGUUAACAAUAACACCUUCUAAGAAACCAAUGCCGAGUUUUAAGUUUUCUUUUUCUGUGCUUGCCAAAAUAAGCUGUACUGGAUCCAGGUUUUCAUUUCCCUUUUCCAUCCUCAUCUUCAUCUUCCUCUAAACCAAAGUAUGGCAAGAGGGGUAUCCUGAAGUACGGAUUCAGCAGUGCUGUGACCAUGUCACUAUGGGAUGAAAAAGAUGUUACUUUAGACAAUGAAGGACUUGCAGAGAUUUCCAGUCCUUGACUUCCGCAGACAGCAGCUCUUUCCAGCACACUUUCUCCAGCACAAAGGGUCACAGCUGGAAACCAGUGCAAUGGAAAGCAUGGGUAACGAGCAUCUCUCAGCUCUGUUGGGCUCGAGUUGGAGAAUAAAGGAGAGUUCUCAGCCAAAAGAACUCACUGUUCUCUUAGGCUGAAGGUUUUAUGUUUUUCCUUCUUUUUUUUUAAACAUUAUUUCUGUCAUAGACUUGAAAUGAUUAUCAGGUCCAUCAAGAAGACCUUUUGGCCUUUUGUUCAUUGGAUAACUGGGACUAACUUGAUUAUUAUCCUUUGUUCUUAACAAUGUGUGCAUAGGCAGAACUCUCUUGGGAUUGGGCCCCUGGAUGCUGUUUUGGAUCAGCUCUGCACUGGAAGCAAAAUGUUGUGAUUUUACAAAUGAUCCAGAUGUUUCUCUCCUACCAAAGUCUUUAUCUGUUCAUGGGAGAUUAUAGCCUCAUGUCAAGUGACUUAUGUUCCAGUUCAGAUCUGAGGACCAGUUGCUGCUACCAGCCAGGUAGCAGUAGGAAGUGCUCUCACUCAUACUAAACUGCUUGGCUCUGAAAGUUCUUCAAAAGCAAGAAGGCCCCACGAACCAACAGUGAACACUCAUUUCUACUGUUUUGUGAAAAUA